rnacentral:rRNA from 1 species
UUUCUAAUUUAUUCAGCCGGCCCUUCAUACAGCUUCCGUGGACACGUAAAUAUGUGCAAUAUUGUUUAUGAAAACACAUCUACUGUACUCAGCACGCUCAGUAGAAUCCAUUCACGUCAGUUUCAUGUCAUAAUACUGUAUAAUUCAUAAUUUCAUAUUUGACGGGCACUCUCUGACGCCACCUACCCCGAAUCGAUAGGCCCCCGAUAUUCUCAUAUUUCUGAUUUUUUUUGUGUAAUUGGGUUUGCAUAUUGCCAGGAAAGAUCCCUGUAAAUAGUGUGUUUUGGUCUUUAAAUUGUUUCUUUUGAUUUGUGUUUGAUGUUUGGUUUUCUUCUUUUUUAUGUUCAUAUUUCUGAGUUUUUUUGUGUAAUUGGGUUUGCAUAUUGCCAGUAAAGAGCAGUUAAAAAGCUCGUAGUUGGAUCUCGGGAGUGGGCUGGCGGUCCGCCGCGAGGCGAGCCACCGCCUGUCCCGGACCCUGCCUCCCGGCGCCCCCCGGAUGCCCUUAACUGGGUGUCCGGUCAAACCGGGGCCCGGAGCGUUUACUUUGAAAAAAUUAGAGUGUUCAAAGCAGGCCGCCCGUCGCCGCUGAAUACCGCAGCUAGGAAUAAUGGAAUAGGACUCCGGUUCUAUUUUGUGGGUUUCUGGAACCCGGGGCCAUGAUUAAGAGGGACGGCCGGGGGCAUUCGUAUUGCGCCGCUAGAGGUGAAAUUCUUGGACCGGCGCAAGACGGACGAAAGCGAAAGCAUUUGCCAAGAAUGUUUUCAUUAAUCAAGAACGAAAGUCGGAGGUUCGAAGACGAUCAGAUACCGUCGUAGUUCCGACCGUAAACGAUGCCGACCCGCGAUCCGGCGGCGUUAUUCCCAUGACCCGCCGGGCAGCGUGCGGGAAACCACGAGUCUUUGGGUUCCGGGGGGAGUAUGGUUGCAAAGCUGAAACUUAAAGGAAUUGACGGAAGGGCACCACCAGGAGUGGAGCCUGCGGCUUAAUUUGACUCAACACGGGAAAUCUCACCCGGCCCGGACACGGAAAGGAUUGACAGAUUGAUAGCUCUUUCUCGAUUCUGUGGGUGGUGGUGCAUGGCCGUUCUUAGUUGGUGGAGCGAUUUGUCUGGUUCAUUCCGAUAACGAACGAGACUCCGGCUUGUUAAAUAGUUACGCGGCCCCGUGCGGUCGGCGUUCAACUUCUUAGAGGGACAAGUGGCGUUCAGCCACGCGAGAUGGAGCAAUAACAGGUCUGUGAUGCCCUUAGAUGUCCGGGGCUGCACGCGCGCCACAAUGGGCGGAUCAGCGUGUGUCUACCCUGCGCCGAGAGGCGCGGGUAACCCGCUGAACCCCGCUCGUGAUCGGGACUGGGGAUUGAAACUAUUUCCCAUCAACGAGGAAUUCCCAGUAAGCGCGGGUCAUAAGCUCGCCACUGUAAAUAGUGUGUUUUGGUCUUUAAAUUGUUUCUUUUGAUUUAUGUUUGAUGUUUGGUUUUCUUCUUUUUUGUGUUCAUAUUUCUGAGUUUUUUUUGUGUAAUUUGUUGUUCAAUUUUCCAGUAAAGACUUAAAACUUACUUUCGUCUUGCCUUUCUUGCUGCAACAUAAA